GACGAACGCUGGCGGCGUGCUUAACACAUGCAAGUCGAACGGAGUGGCGAACGGGUGAGUAACACGUGGGUGACCUGCCCUGCACUUCGGGAUAAGCCUGGGAAACUGGGUCUAAUACUGGCUAGUGUGGGAUGGGCUCGCGGCCUAUCAGCUUGUUGGUGGGGUAAUGGCCUACCAAGGCGGCGACGGGUAGCCGGCCUGAGAGGGUGGAAGGCCACAUUGGGACUGAGACACGGCGCAGACUGCUACGGGAGGCAGCAGUGGGGAAUAGUGCACAAUGGGCGUAAGCCUGAUGCAACGACACCGGGUGGGGGAUGACGUCCGUGGGGUUGUAAACUCCGUUCACCAUCGACGCGGUAGAUGGAGAAGAAGCACCGGCUAACUACGUGCCAGCAGCCGCGGUAAUAC
rnacentral:rRNA from 1 species